rnacentral:lncRNA from 1 species
UGAAUAAAUCAUUUUAAUAAAGUUACAUUAUAGGCAGGAAUGUUUGACUGGAAAUAUAAACAAUGUUGUACAUAAUGCAGAUAGCUUAGGCAAAAAAGAGAUUGGUGAAAUGGAGAAUGAGACUAACUAGGGU